AAGGAAUAUUGGACAAUGGAGGCAACUCUGAUCCAGCCAUGCCGCGUGAAGGAAUAAGGCCCUAUGGGUUGUAAACUUCUUUUAGACGGGACAAAACCCCUUUACGUGUAAAGGGUUGAUGGUACUGUCAGAAUAAGCAUCGGCUAACUUCGUGCCAGCAGCCGCGGUAAUACGAAGGAUGCAAGCGUUAUCCGGAAUUAUUGGGUUUAAAGGGUGCGCAGGCGGACUAAUAAGUCAGUGGUGAAAGCCUGCAGCUUAACUGCAGAAUUGCCAUUGAUACUGUUAGUCUUGAGUACAGUUGAGGUAGGCGGAAUGUGUCAUGUAGCGGUGAAAUGCUUAGAUAUGACACAGAACACCGAUUGCGAAGGCAGCUUGCUAAGCUGUAACUGACGCUGAGGCACGAAAGCGUGGGGAGCAAACA
rnacentral:rRNA from 1 species